GACGUAGGGCGCGAGCGUUGUCCGGAAUUAUUGGGCGUAAAGAGCUCGUAGGCGGCUUGUUGCGUCGGCUGUGAAAACCCGCGGCUCAACCGUGGGCUUGCAGCCGAUACGGGCAGGCUAGAGUUCGGUAGGGGAGACUGGAAUUCCUGGUGUAGCGGUGAAAUGCGCAGAUAUCAGGAAGAACACCCGUGGCUAAGGCGGCUCUCUAGUACGGUACUGACGCUGAGACGCGAAAGCGUGGGGAGCGAACAGG
rnacentral:rRNA from 1 species